rnacentral:rRNA from 1 species
GAUGAACGCUAGCGGGAGGCUUAACACAUGCAAGUCGAGGGGCAUCACGGGUAGCAAUACCUGGUGGCGACCGGCAGACGGGUGAGUAACGCGUAUGUAACCUACCCUGUACAGGGGGAUAACCCGGAGAAAUUCGGACUAAUAUCCCAUAAUGAUAUCUGGGGGCAUCUUCGGAUAUUUAAAGUUCCGGCGGUACAGGAUGGGCAUGCGUAACAUUAGCUAGUUGGUAAGGUAACGGCUUACCAAGGCUUUGAUGUUUAGGGGUCCUGAGAGGGUGGUCCCCCACACUGGUACUGAGACACGGACCAGACUCCUACGGGAGGCAGCAGUGAGGAAUAUUGGUCAAUGGGCGCAAGCCUGAACCAGCCAUCCCGCGUGCAGGAAGACGGCCCCUAUGGGUUGUAAACUGCUUUUUGUGCGAGAAUAAUAUGCCUUACGAGUAGGGUAAUGAAGGUAUCGUACGAAUAAGCAUCGGCUAACUCCGUGCCAGCAGCCGCGGU